GACAGAGGUGCCGAGCGUUAGGCGGAAUCACUGGGCUUAAAGCGUGUGUAGGCGGGUCCGUAAGUACCUUGUGAAAUCCCACGGCUCAACCGUGGAACUGCUCGGUAUACUGCUCGUCUUGAGCCAACUAGGGGCGACCGGAACAAACGGUGGAGCGGUGAAAUGCGUAGAUACCGUUUGGAACGCCGAUGGUGAAAACAGGUCGCUGGGGUUGUGCUGACGCUGAGACACGAAAGCCAGGGGAGCGAACGGG
rnacentral:rRNA from 1 species